ensembl:lincRNA Gm28050 predicted gene, 28050
AGAGGCCUCCCUUCCGCGGAGGUGGUGCAGGCUGCUCGGCUACCCAGCGAGGUCCACGCGCAGCCAACCCGGCGCUCGGUUCCCCGGCCGCUGUCUCCCGCUGCAGGCGGCGGCGCCGGGCCUCGGAGGAAACUUUGGGAAAAAACCAUAAAUAUAAGACGAGGCCACCAGAGGACGUAACUAGUUCCCAGAGUUCACUAUGGUGAGUAGUACGCGUUCUAGCCAUUGAGGACUGGCUCUGGUGUCAGCCUCUAGUUGAAAUAAAGGAAAAACUUGAUUCUGGAGCCAUGGACUGUUGUCUGCCGAAAGGAACUGCUCCGAGUUUCUGUAAAGGUGGUUAACCCGCAGGCAGGAGAUGCUACUUGGGACAUUUUUUUGCAAAUUUACAUUUAUGUUUGUUGAUUCCAUAUUAAACCGAACAAGCAGGCUCGUGGAAGGUAAAGCCUUCUUUUAAUUAACCCUCUUGGUGUGGGCUCAUGUGAUUAAAGAUGACGGAGCUGCUCCUGGGGUUUCUGCUACUGAAAAUACUAACAAUAAUCAUUUGUUUUGUUUUUAUAUUUAAACACAUUAUUGCAUAGCUUGGUGCAGAGAUAAUUACCAAUUUUAUCUCCUGUGUUUUUCUAAUGUUCAUUAAUAACAAUAAAGGGUUGUAGGUUAAAAACUC